rnacentral:rRNA from 1 species
AUUGAACGCUGGCGGCAGGCCUAACACAUGCAAGUCGAGCGAGCGGCGGACGGGGGAGUAAUGUCUGGGAAACUGCCUGCUGGAGGGGGAUAACUACUGGAAACGGUAGCUACUACCGCCUACCCUCAGCGGUGCCCAGAUGGGAUUAGCUCGUAGGUGGGGUAACGGCUCACCUCGGCGACGAUCCCUAGCUGGUCUGGGGGGAUGACCAGCCACACUGGAACUGAGAAACGGUCCAGACUCCUACGGGAGGCAGCAGUGGGGAAUAUUGCACAAUGGGCGCAAGCCUGAUGCAGCCAUGCCGCGUGUGUGAAGAAGGCCUUCGGGUUGUAAAGCACUUUCAGCGGGGAGGCGUUACCCGCAGAAGAAGCACCGGCUAACUCCGUGCCAGCAGCCGCGGUAAUAC